rnacentral:rRNA from 1 species
GAGUUUGAUCCUGGCUCAGAUUGAACGCUGGCGGCAUGCCUAACACAUGCAAGUCGAACGGUAACAGAACUAGCUUGCUAGUUGCUGACGAGUGGCGGACGGGUGAGUAAUGUAUAGGAACUUGCCUAAUAGUGGGGGACAACGUGUGGAAACGCACGCUAAUACCGCAUACGCUCUAUGGAGGAAAGCGGGGGAUCUUCGGACCUCGUGCUAUUAGAUAGGCCUAUAUUGGAUUAGCUAGUUGGUAAGGUAAGAGCUUACCAAGGCGACGAUCCAUAGCUGGUUUGAGAGAAUGAUCAGCCACACUGGGACUGAGACACGGCCCAGACUCCUACGGGAGGCAGCAGUGGGGAAUAUUGCACAAUGGAGGAAACUCUGAUGCAGCAAUGCCGCGUGUGUGAAGAAGGCCUUCGGGUUGUAAAGCACUUUCAGACGCGAGGAAAAGCUAACUAUUAAUACUAGUUAGCCUUGACGUUAACGUCAGAAGGAGCACCGGCUAACUCCGUGCCAGCAGCCGCGGUAAUACGGAGGGUGCAAGCGUUAAUCGGAAUUACUGGGCGUAAAGCGCGCGUAGGCGGAUAAAUAAGUCAGAUGUGAAAUCCCUGGGCUCAACCUAGGAACUGCAUUUGAUACUGUUUAUCUAGAGUAUGGUAGAGGUGAGUGGAAUUUCAGGUGUAGCGGUGAAAUGCGUAGAGAUCUGAAGGAACAUCAGUGGCGAANGCGACUCACUGGGCCAUUACUGACGCUGAGGUGCGAAAGCGUGGGUAGCAAACAGGAUUAGAUACCCUGGUAGUCCACGCCCUAAACGAUGUCAACUAGGUGUGUGAAGAUUUA